UGGGGAAUAUUGCACAAUGGGCGCAAGCCUGAUGCAGCAACGCCGCGUGAGCGAGGAAGGCCUUCGGGUCGUAAAGCUCUGUCCUUGGGGAAGAAGGAAGUGACGGUACCCAAGGAGGAAGCCCCGGCUAACUACGUGCC
rnacentral:rRNA from 1 species